CCUACGGGUGACAGCAGUGAGGAAUAUUGGUCAAUGGGCGCGAGCCUGAACCAGCCAAGUAGCGUGAAGGAUGACUGCCCUACGGGUUGUAAACUUCUUUUAUAAAGGCAUAAAGUGAGGCACGUGUGCCUUUUUGUAUUUACUUUAUGUACAAGGAUCGGAUAACUCCGUUCCAGCAGCCGCGGUAAUACGGAGGAUCCGAGCGUUAUCCGGAUUUAUUUGGUUUAACGGGAGCGUAGAUGGGUUGUUAAGUCAGUUGUGAAAGUUUGCGGCUCAACCGUAAAAUUGCAAUUGAUACUGGCAGUCUUGAGUACAGGUGAGGUAGGCGGAAUUCGUGGUGUAGCGGUGAAAUGCUUAGAUAUCACGAAGAACACCGAUUGCGAAGGCAGCUUACUAAACUGCCACUGACAUUGAUGCUCGAAAGUGUGGGUAUCAAACAGGAUUAGAUACCCGAGUAGUC
rnacentral:rRNA from 1 species